CACAAGUCGUCUGCUAUAAUAUGAAGGAUUAUUCAGGAUGCCGUUCGUCUAUCGUGUUAUUAUCGGAGUAUUUGAGACACAAAUCUGAAGGUUUGUUCAUAAAUAUGCCACUUUGACUCCAGGACUACGAUACAGUAUAACAGUCAAAGGUCUAUUGUACACAAACACAAGUCGUCUGCUAUAAUAUGAAGGAUUAUUCAGGAUGCCGUUCGUCUAUCGUGUUAUUAUCGGAGUAUUUGAGACACAAAUCUGAAGGUUGGUUCUUAAAUAUGCCACUUUGACUCCAGGACUACGAUACAGUAUAACAGUCAAAGGUCUAGUGUACACGAACACAAGUCGUCUGCUAUAAUAUGAAGGAUUAUUCAGGAUGCCGUUCGUCUAUCGUGUUAUUAUCGGAGUAUUUGAGACACAAAUCUGAAGGUUGGUUCUUAAAUAUGCCACUUUGACUCCAGGAAUACGAUACAGUAUAACAGUCAAAGGUCUAUUGUACACGAACACAAGUCGUCUGUUAUAAUAUGAAGGAUUAUUCAGGAUGCCGUUCGUCUAUCGUGUUAUUAUCGGAGUAUUUGAGACACAAAUCUGAAGGUUUGUUCAUAAAUAUGCCACUUUGACUCCAGGAAUACGAUACAGUAUAACAGUCAAAGGUCUAUUGUACACAAACACAAGUCGUCUGCUAUAAUAUGAAGGAUUAUUCAGGAUGCCGUUCGUCUAUCGUGUUAUUAUCGGAGUAUUUGAGACACAAAUCUGAAGGUUGGUUCUUAAAUAUGCCACUUUGACUCCAGGACUACGAUACAGUAUAACAGUCAAAGGUCUAGUGUACACGAACACAAGUCGUCUGCUAUAAUAUGAAGGAUUAUUCAGGAUGCCGUUCGUCUAUCGUAUUAUUAUCGGAGUAUUU